rnacentral:rRNA from 1 species
GUGUCAGCAGCCGCGGUAAGACGAAGGUGGCUAGCGUUAUUCGGAUUCACUGGGCAUAAAGCGCGCGUAGGCGGCUCUUCAAGUCGGUGGUGAAAGCCCGCAGCUCAACUGCGGAACAGCCUUCGAUACUGUCGAGCUUGAGUGCAGGAGGGGUGAUCGGAACUCCAGGUGUAGCGGUGAAAUGCGUAGAUAUCUGGAGGAACACCGGAGGCGAAGGCGGAUCACUGGACUGCCACUGACGCUGAGGCGCGAAAGCUAGGGGAGCAAACAGGAUUAGAUACCCUGGUAGUCC